UUUGCCUGCUAUCUCUUACCCAUGUCUUUUGAGUACUUACGUUUCCUCGGCGGGUUCGCCCGCCGAUUGGACAAUUUAAACCAUUUGCAGUUGCAAUCAGUGUCUGAAAAACUUUAAUAGUUACAACUUUCAACAACGGAUCUCUUGGUUCUGGCAUCGAUGAAGAACGCAGCGAAAUGCGAUAAGUAGUGUGAAUUGCAGAAUUCAGUGAAUCAUCGAAUCUUUGAACGCACAUUGCGCCCCUUGGUAUUCCAUGGGGCAUGCCUGUUCGAGCGUCAUUUGUACCUUCAAGCUUUGCUUGGUGUUGGGUGUUUGUCUCGCCUCUGCGUGUAGACUCGCCUUAAAACAAUUGGCAGCCGGCGUAUUGAUUUCGGAGCGCAGUACAUCUCGCGCUUUGCACUCAUAACGACGACGUCCAAAAGUACAUUUUUACACUCUUGACCUCGGAUCAGGUAGGGAUACCCGCUGAACUUAAGCAUAUCAAUAAGCGGAGGAAA
rnacentral:rRNA from 1 species